rnacentral:rRNA from 1 species
GUCUUUUUGAUUUUAAUUUAAAGUCAAAUCUGCCCACUGAUUAAUAUUAAAGGGCUGCAGUAUAUUGACUGUACAAAGGUAGCAUAAUAAAUAGUCUUUUAAUUGAAGACUUGUAUGAAAGAUUUGAUGAGAUAUAAACUGUCUCUUUUUUAUAUUUAGAAUUUAAUUUUUUAGUAAAAAAGCUAAAAUUAUUUUAAAAGACGAGAAGACCCUAUAGAGUUUUAUAGUUAAUUUAUUUAUAAAUUUAUAUGUAAAAUUUCAAAUUUAAUUAAUUUAAUUAUUUUGUUGGGGUGAUAGAAAAAUAUAUUAAACUUUUUUUAAAAAAUUACAUUAAUUAAUGAGUAUAUGAUCCAUAAAUUAUGAUUAAAAGAAAAAAUUACCUUAGGGAUAACAGCGUAAUUUUUUUUUUUAGUUCUUAUAGGAAAAAGAGUUUGCGACCUCGAUGUUGGAUUAAGAUAAAAUUUAAAUGUAGAAGUUUAAAAUUUUUGAUCUGUUCGAUCAUUAAAAUCUUACA